CCCCAAGCGGCGGCGCGGAGGAGCUCAGCCUCGGUCUCGCGAAAUGGAGCGAGACUACGGAAGCCGGAAGCACUGGGUUAAGCAUUUCCUGAGCUAAGGGCUGCCUACGGCUCCGAGGCCCUGGAAAUGUAAAGAUGAAAAAUACUCCUGAUUCUUGAAUGAUGCACAAUCCAAUAGAAGAUUAGACAUAAGAAGAAAUGUGACACAUGCAUGAAAGAACAUAAUAACACAGAUGCUUUUACAAGGAGAAUCUUCUGGCUAAAGGUUAGGGGGAUGUAGCAAUUCAUGAAUUCAAAGGAGUGAGAAUCACUUCAAACUAUAAAGAUUGAGCAAGGUUUUAUUUAAGAAGAGUCAGGAUGUUAACUGGAUCUCAAAGGGCUUGGGAGAGGAAAGAAGACAGAAAAAAGUAAGGAAAAUGCAACCCAGGGUCAGCGGCAGUAAGCAGAACACCUUGGCUGAAGUAUGAAUUUGAGGAAGGAUUAUAUUGUGAACCGUACCUCAUAUGUCCUAGAGGUACUCUUUUGGUGUUCUGGGAUCCAAAUGUCUAGUGUUUGGAGAAGGGAGUUCCCUACACCUUCAACAGGCAAUACUCAGACACUGCAAGUAGCUAUCUCCUGAAUCACUGCCCAGUUGCCAGCUGCAAGUCCUAGCUCCACAGACAUAAAUGUCCACAGCACAAAGCCAAAAGAAUCUCUUAAGGGUGAUGCUGUCAGGCAAUAGCAGAAGGAGUUGGUGUUCUGGAGUCAGACACAGUUCACACAAGCUUUGAGAUUAAUUUCAUUGACACAAAGAGAGAAGGCAUUGCUGACUGCCAACAGGAUGAAAGGCUUUGCAUAGCUACAUUAUUCAGAAACCAAGGUUUUAUGUCUUUCCCAAUUUCCAUAGUGAGGCUGUUACUGGAAGAAGGCAUCACAGGACACCACUGGAAUCUUAUCUGGAAGAUUUACCAAAUCUUGGAGAAAGUGGAACAGGAGUCAAAGAUACAAACUCAACUCAGACUGGUCAAGUAACUGGGAACUUACUGGCUCUCGUAGAUGAGAAGUCUACAACAGAGCAGAUAAGUACUAAUUUUUGGACUAGGUGCCACUUUUCCAGUGAAUCCAGCAAAAGUCCCAAGAUUCACUCUAAUUAAACCAACUUUGUUUACAUACCUAUCCUUGAAUCACUGUUCCCAAAGAAGGGAAAAUACAGUUUUUCCCAGUCUUGGAGUUGGAGUUAAAGUCAUGUUUCUACUUCACUCCAUGCCCAAAAAUAAGUGAAUUGGGAAUAAAGAAAGGAUAUUUUCUAAAGGAUAAUCAAAGUGGCAUUACCAGAAGAAGGAAGGGAUAGCAGGCAAGCAAAAACAGAUGUUUAUCAUGCAUGAUAAAAAAUGUGAUGAAACAUAUUCUGUUGUUUCAUUCAUUCAUUCAAACAUUAAGAGAAUAAAAAAUAUUACAGCACAGUCUGCCUUCGAGGAAAUUAUAGCUUUUAAAUAAUAUCAAUACAUUAUUAUUAUGAUAUACUAGGUUCCACUAAAGGAAUACAAACAAAAUAAGCUAUGAAAAUACAUACUAGGUCCAUCAGUUAUAUUCGCAGAUGCCUUGGCUAUGAUUUUGUUAUUAAAUUUCACAUUAAUUCCCACCACUAACAUGCUAGUACACACGAGUUUGAAAAAAACAAAGACCUCACUCAUAAUUCUUGCUAAGGUGCAUAGCCUUACUUUAGGUAGGUCAUAAUAUAAUACAGAAUCAACAGCUGAGGUAGUGGUUUUUCAUGAUCUGCCACUGCUUGAUGCUUCUAGAAAAGAGUAAGCUGGCAGCAUCCACAUUGAGAAUGUGUUAACUUUGUAUACUACAAUUUACUUUUUGAUGUACAAUGCCACAACUACUAUUAAAUUUCAUACUAUGGCAGGCAGUUAUUUAUUAGAUAGGAAACUGCUCUCUUUAAAAAAUGUCUUUCACUUUUCCACCACUUUAGUAGCACUGCAGUUUAAUUGAAAAUUAGUCCAGUCAAUCUGCCGCGGGCUCCUGAGAAAUAAUUUGUGUGAAUAACUACCACCAAAAACUUCCCCAAGGAAAAGCUUUCAUCAGGACUGAGAACACUUUCUGAUGAUUCUAAUAAUUACCUUUCUUUGAGUUUCUGGCUUACCGAUAUGGUUGUCAUAAAGUGCUUUGCUGAUUUUCUUUCAUGCCUCUUGCCUUUAUAAAUCCCACAACAGAAGGAGAAAACUGGUCAGGACAUGAGUGUUUUUUAAGUACUGCUUUGCAUGAAGCGUUUAUUGAACAAACCCUGAAAAAUAUUCUUCUUGAAUGUAUUAGAACGUGGACCUAAUUCAUGCUUCUAAGUCCCUAAAGAAUUUUCUGUGAUAUGGUUGUUAUGGAUAAUGAUUCCACGAAACAUAACUAUUGCCAUGUGUCUUGAAGAUAUCUUAGUGAAACAAAUGUUAUUUAGUUUAAUUGUCCCUGAAAGCAGAGUCAGAAGUAAGAACCAGAGUUCAAGUAGUUUAUUUAGGAGGUGAUCUUAAGAAUCAGGAAUGAGGGAGUAGAGACAGUGAAACAGGAAAGAGAAAAAGUCAGUAUAAGAGUGUUUUGUCAAUGUCACUAUUGGGAGCAUUGGGAUCUCAAUUUUACUGGGAUUGUGAUACAUUUGCAAAAUACUUCCCAGAAUUUUCCAGCCAAAGGACAGGAAUCUGGGGCACUUAUCCACUGGCUCCUAUUCAGUACUCUGCAGGGUAGAAGUGGAGAGAGUGGGCAUCCUUGUCUUAUUCUUCAUCUUAGAGGAAAAACUUUCACCCUUUCACCAGUCAGUACAAUGUUAGCUGUGGACUUGUCAUAUAUGUCCUUUAUUAUGUUGACUGAUAUUCCCACUAAACCCACUUUGUUGAGAGUUUUUAUCAUAAACGGAAGUUGAAUUUUGUCAAAUUCUUUUUCUGCAUCUAUUGAGAUGAUCAUAUGAUUUUAUCCUUCAUUUUGUUAAUGUGGUAUGUAUCACAUUGAUUGAUUUGCACAUGUUGAGCCAACAUCGCAUCCUUUGAAUAAAUCCCGCUUGAUCAUUGUGUAUGACUCUUUAAAUUUAUUGUUGAAUUUGUUUACUGUUAUUUUGCUGAGAAAUUUCGCAUCUAGAUUCAUCAGGGAUAUUGGCAUAUAUAUUGGCAUGUAUAUAUAUAUUUUUUGUGGCAUCCUUGUCUGGUUUUGCAUCAGGGUAUUGCUUUUUCAAUGAGUUUGAAAAAGUUCUCUCCUCUUCUAUUUUUUCUUCUAUUUUGAAAAUUAUU